UACGGAGGGUGCAAGCGUUAUCCGGAAUCACUGGGCGUAAAGGGCGCGUAGGCGGUCCAUUAAGUCCGAUGUUAAAGACCGGGGCUCAACCCCGGCACGGCGUUGGAUACUGUUGGGCUGGACGGCUGGAGAGGCGAGUGGAAUUACCAGUGUAGCGGUGGAAUGCGUAGAUACUGGUAGGAACACCCAUGGCGAAGGCAGCUCGCUGGACAGCACGUGACGCUGAGGCGCGAAAGUGUGGGGAGCAAACCGGAUUAGAUACCCGGGUAGUCCACACCCUAAACGAUGCAUACUUGGUGUUGGCCCGUUGGGGUCAGCGCCGGAGCUAACGCGUUAAGUAUGCCGCCUGGGAAGUACGGCCGCAAGGUUG
rnacentral:rRNA from 1 species